rnacentral:rRNA from 1 species
AUGCUCCGGGCGGCUGCUGAUCAAAAAAUCAGCGUCGAGCCAUACAUAUCGUCGUACUUCAACAUGUACAAUCUGUACAACACUUGGAACGGUGAGUUCUGGGCUUGGGGCAUAGAUAUGAACUACAAAAUGUUGUGGCCAGAUGGGCCGAAAUGGAUUCCGAAUGCCGACUUGAUGAGAACCGCAAAGGGACGAUGUCAGUCUAGGCGUCAUCGCAAUGACAUGGACCAUAGCCAGAUGGGAGAACCAAGGCGAUGCCGCGUUUGCAGGUGUCCUGGACAUUCACGCAGAGAAUGCCCAUAUCGAGCCAACAACAACGCAUGA